rnacentral:antisense_RNA from 1 species
UCUGAGGCUACGCAGGGCUCUGACAGAAGAACAUGGCCAGGGGACUUACUGAGAGGUCCACAACUGUCUUGAUGGCCUUUUCUUUUCUCUUUAUGAAGUCAUCAUCCUACAAGACAAAACACAGCGAUUAAACAAAUCCCAAGGGAAAAUUAAAACUCAAGUGGACCACUCAGAUAUCUGUCUUAUAAAUUGACUUCUCAUCUCAUCACUACUUUGCCUGAAGAAGUCUCAAUUUUCAAACAAAUUGGAAUAUAUUCUCCAUGGGAAAAGGCUACAAACUCUGCAGAUUGCUCCAACAUAGAUCCCUGCACAGCCAGUAAGAAAAAGGGGGUCAUAAGGAGUAGUGCUUAAGACAAGAGUUCUCAUUUCAAAUCCUCUUAAGCACUGAAAUCUCAGCUCGUUUCACCAGCCACUGGGGAAGAAAGUGAAAAGACAUGAGUUGCUAAGGACAACAUCCCACUGCAGUGAAGGCCAGUUCAGACACGGCACAACUCAUGAACUCAAAUCAGCAUAGUUGAACUGACCAGGUGAUAAGAAGCUAUCAACACAUGCUGUCCUAUAGGAAAAGCAACCAGCUGGGCAUCCAAGAUGUUAAGAUCCAAUGGGACCUAGUGCUGAGUAGCCGUGCAGGAGCUUUAAAGCCUUACUUCAUAUCCUUGAGCCUCAGUUUUCCUUUCUGUAAAAGUAUAUCAGUUCCCUUCACCUCACAGAGCUAACAUGGGAGUAAAUGAAAUCACAAGUAGUAGAGUGAUUUGUAAACACCUGAAGCACAAAACAGAGCUAUCUUCCAACUUCCCAGUCCUACUAGCAGAUCUUCAUGUAAAUCUUUUUCUUGUGCUCCUUAUACCACAGACCAGGGAAAAGGGAGAGAACCACAGAGAAUGCUAGCGUAACUCCCCAUUUGACAAGUGAAAAAAUGUCCAAAAUACUCAGAUUUGACAAUGGUGCAUACUGAGUACGCAGUUGAAGGCAUUGGUUUAUCCUGACAUUCACAACAUUCUCUCUUAAUCCUCACAACGUCGGAUGGUACUGGCUGAGUUUUACCGAACCUGAAGUGCCGGGAGACUACAUAACUUACU